CACUUCAUAAAAGUUAAAAUAUUUUUUAAAACCAUUUUAAAGUUCUUAGACAAAACUGUGAACAAGUUGUAGAUGCAUUUUAGCAUAAAAGUCAAGGAACAACUUUAGUGUAUACUUGUUAUGUGGUUAUAUUGGUUAUAACACCUGUGUUGGUUACAGUUGGUGCUGACAGUGAUGUUGACCAGUGUAGUGGUCUAUAUCUACACAGUGAUAGCCUUCAACUUCUUCCGCAAGUUCUACGUCAAAGAGGAGGACGGGUCUGUCGACUACAAGUGCCAUGACAUGCUGACCAUACGUAGUACUUCUAUUCAUUGGUUCAAAAUUAUGUGCUGAUAGUAUGAUUUCUAUUAUUUGGUAGAAGGGUGACAAGUUUUGUUAAUACAUAAUAGAAUAAUUUUUUAUUUGUGAUUCUUCCAAGCUGUUUCCGAGCAUUGAUGAUACAUAUUCCUACAAAAAUACUUUGUCUAUUUCAGUGAUUUGUGUAUCACUUGCACACUGGAGUAAGGGCAGGAGGGGGAAUUGGUGAUGAGAUAGAGCCGGCGGACGGCGGUCCGUCGGAGGUCUACAGGAUCCUGUUUGACAUCACCUUCUGGCCAUUUUUCAAGGUUUGAUCAUUGGUGCCUUUGGAGAAUUGAGAGAUCAACUGGAACAAGUCAAGGAGGACAUGGUGGUUAAGUCAGGAUGAAAUGGUGGAUUUAUUUUGUUUUUGUUGCAUUUCAAAUAAUCCAAUCCUUGUUAUCUAAAAUUCUGUUUUACAGUCCAAGCGUUUCAUUUGUGGAAUUGGGAAAAAAAUAUUUCGAUAAAGUACUGUACUGCAGUAUGGUUUUGAAACCCAUGUCAUGAAAGAAUAUAAUUUUGCAGAUUACAUGAUUUUCCUGAUGCACUUGAUCAACAAGCCAGACACAGAGUAUACAGGACAGGAGUCGAAUGUGUGGGAGCUCUACCAGCAGUGCUGCUGGGACUUCUUCCCAGUUGGAGACUGCUUCAGGAAACUGUACGAGGACGAGG